rnacentral:rRNA from 1 species
AGAGUUUGAUCAUGGCUCAGAAUCAACGCUGGCGGCGUGCCUCAGACAUGCAAGUCGAACGAGAAAGUCCCCUUCGGGGGAUGAGUAAAGUGGCGCACGGGUGAGUAACACGUAGGUAAUCUACCUUCGGGUGGGGAAUAACCCAGGGAAACUUGGGCUAACACCGCAUAAUGCAGCGGCACCACAUGGUGACAGUUGUUAAAGCGGGGGAUUUUAGGACCUCGCGCCUGAAGAGGAGCCUGCGGCGGAUUAGCUAGUUGGUAGGGUAACGGCUUACCAAGGCGACGAUCCGUAACCGGCCUGAGAGGGCGGUCGGUCACACUGACACUGACAUACGGGUCAGACUCCUACGGGAGGCAGCAGUCGGGAAUUUUGGGCAAUGGGCGAAAGCCUGACCCAGCAACGCCGCGUGAAGGAUGAAAUCCCUCGGGAUGUAAACUUCGCAAGAAUAGGAAGAAUUAGUAGGGGCUAAUACCCCCUAUGAUGACGGUACUAUUUGUAAGCUCCGGCUAACUCCGUGCCAGCAGCCGCGGUAAUACGGGGGGAGCAA